UCUGGUGACUCUGAGCUGCCAAUAACCUUUCCUAUAUAAGCUUAACCUUCACUACAAGAAAAAGACUUAUUAGCGACAAACGUUUGGCGACGGGGUACAAAUCUGGUCCUUAAAAGUAUACCUAUAGGGACGAGAUUUUUUCUUAAUCUUUAAUAUUCAAUUUUAACUUUGAGAUAAGCGAAGGGAUUAAAUCUGGUCGUUGAAGUUAUUGAUAUCCGGUCCCUAAUUCCUAAAUUGAGUGGGACAAAAGGCGCCUCUUCUAAUUUACCUUAUUAAAAAAAUAAAGAAAUAAAACAAAUUCUCCAAUUAAAAUGUUGCUCUCUCAAAAUAUUGUUCGUCUCACUCUCUCUUUCAAAGAGAAGAUGUAAAACCCUAAAAUCCCAAAUCUCAAAAUCUAACCAUGGCAUUUCUCGCUCGGCUCGAAUCCACAACCAUCGAGUAUUAUAGUCAUGCAGAUUUGAGUAAACAAAGUGGAGAUACAAAAGUUGAAGAAUUCCUACAAGUUGACAGUUGAUUAUCAUUUUUCUAGGACUGUUAAGCAAAAGCUAACAUUAUUUGAUAAGGAUGAUAUAUUUGUUUUUAAGCUGAGGGGUUGUUACACAAUGUAGUGUUUAUAGUGCUACUUUAUUUCCUUUUUGUGUAAUUAAUUAAAAUAUAUAAAUGAAUGGAUGAUGUUAUUUAUAA